GCCGCAGAGACGCUUGAGCAAGCUUCGAUAUGGGGUUGAAGUUUCUGGAUUGGUACGUGAAAGAUCGCGGUCUUCUCAGCUCUCGUCGGCGGCUCCAUGGAGUUGUUCAUGAUCAAGACCGGCUUCUGUCUUGUAGCCAAAAAGAUGGCGCGACAAUGACUCCGAAAUCGGCAGUUUUAGUCAUUAUCAAGCAGUUGAAAUCACUUCUAUCUAAAAAAAAAUCUUGCUUUAAAGCUUUCGAGCGAUGUUAGUGCGGCAGCUAUUGUGUUUAGUCGAAUGGGAGCAGAUUUUACGGUGAUGGGUCGUGUUCGAGUUUGUCUCUCUUCGGAUGGAGGAGGCACCAUUUAGCCGGUUGCUUUGUGGAUGAAAUUGGGGGUAGGAUGGAAAUUCAUGAUUUCAGUGGUAUGUCUCUGUUGGUAGCUUGUGAAAGAGGAGGGCUCUGAUUUGGACUGUCUAUUGUGGCGCUGAACUGAACGUUCCCCCCGUUCUACACGAGAAGUAAAAUGCGAAAAAAUGUUGUUUUGGAUGAUGAAUGGUGAUGCCAAUGAAUGCGAAGCGUUCCGCUGUCUGUGGAGAAAGAAAGGAUAGUUUAUGCAACUAAUAUCUGUCUGUUCAUCGAUGACUUCUGUGGGAGAAACUUCUGAAAGAUAGUUGUCGAGAUAGUGGUUUUAAAACGGAACUUACGACAGCGGUGCACGUCUCAAGAGAACAUGGAGCUGAUUGUUCUGCAGCUAUUUCGUAAGGAAUAUGAAAGAGGUUAAACUUGUGAAGGAACACGCAAUUGAAUGUGGUAAUUGAAAGGCCUAUAUGUUUGCGAUUCAUUUGUGAUCUUGUUGAAGACAGACGAGCUUUCCUCGCUUGCAUCUUUCUGAAUGGAUUUUGGUAUAGACAAAAGAUUUGGAGAAUGUUGUUUGCUUGUUUGCCUUGAUAACUACCUAUGCUCUCAUAAGCAUCUUCAUGACGAAGAUGAUCAGGUUCUUUCCCGUGCCAUUGGUUGGUCAUUUUGCUACCAAAGGGUCUAGCUUUCAAGGGAUCGACCAAGUUCCAUCAUUGAAAGCAUUAUAUUUAAGAAAGAUUUACAGUGCUUGUAUGUUGCAAAUGAUAAAGUGACUGUAUUGGAGUCAGAGAAGCGGGCUCGGGAGAAUUCGGCAGAAGCUCAGGCUGUAAGAGAAGCUCUUAAUCCUUGGAGGAAUCAUGAUGCAGAAGCAAAAAUAAUUCAUAGUGCUUCCAUUGUUGAGCUAUUCCUGGGCUGAGGGACGACCGACGGGAUGAUCGCAACAUAAGUUUAUCUGAUUAUGUUUAAUCUUUUCGCCUUCAUACGUCGGCAAGGAUUAUUUAAACUCGGACGACUAUACAUGCCGAUACUAUAAGCUGCAGGAGCGAGACGAGGAAGUGAACUUCUAAACAACAGGGAUCGUAUUCUUGAUGCUUGAAAUGUGUCUUCAGGAAGAUGAAUUCAAAAUUAUGCCGGACGCAUCUGCACAGCAGACUCCUCUGUCCUGGAAUGAAUUUAGAACAUCCUGAAAUGUGUUGAUGCGAUUUCGUCUUUGGCUGCUUGGCAAUUAAUUUCCUGUUCAGCGAGUGAGAUUUUCCUGUAUAGGGGUUCCACAUCCGGAAUUUUCUUUAUGUACAUCCCCUCAUCAUCAUCCAAAAAACUACAUUUUUGUUGGCAUACUGCAGAAAACUCCUCUCCCGAGCUUCCACCGCCGAUGGCGGAUUUCUCCGGCAAAGUCAAGAAAUUGUCACGGUCACGGUCACCGACGAAGUCCUCUUCGAGGCAAAGAAAUUCGUCAGGAUUAAAUCCACACUUCUCAAGGUCGCAGAGCAUCGACUCCUCUCCCGAGAUUCCACCGCCGAUGGCCUAGUUUUCCGGCAAAGUCAAGAAAUUGUCGUGGUCACCGUCACCAACGCAAUUCCCAAACAGAUUAAGAAAGUUGUCUGGAUUAAAUCCCUACCCCUCAAGAUCAGAGCGGGUGCUUUCGCCGGCGGCGGAAAAACAGGACUUUGUCAGUGACCGUGACCGUGAUAAUUUCUUGACUUUGCCGAAAAACUCGGCCGUUGGUGGUGAAAGCUCGAAAGAGGUGUUGAUGCUCUGCGACCUUGAGGAGUGUGGAUUUAAUCCUAACGAAUUUCUUUGCCUCGAUGAGGACUUCGUUGGUGACCGUGACCGUGACAAUUUCUUUACUUUGCCAGAGAACUGGGCCAUCGGCGGUGGAAGCUUGGGAGAGGAGUUGAUGCUCUAAUAUCUUGAUGGCUGGAUAUGAUCCGACCACUUUUUUACACUUGAAGAUCUGGAUGUUCCUCUGUGAUGUAGAUAUGAAUAUAUGUGGUUUUUCUUGUAAAACUGCAUUGUACAUAAUACAAUCUCUUUUUCCAGUUCACUGGUUUAAUGGCAUUGGCUCUCUCUAUUUCUUUCUUUUUCACUUCCUUGAUCGAUGGAAUUCAAUCAUUUUUUCUAACUGUUGAGGGUAGAGUUUAAAAACUACUUAAAGACAUGAUCUCAAUCAAGCCAAAACCUAAUAUAUUAUCGUACCAACAAGAUGACUGGAUGCAUGGUGCAUUAUAAUUUUUAAACAUUGAAUAUACUAACUGAAGAUCAAAUGUCAACACAAAAAAGUUUGUAUGGAAGCAAAGCUGUUUGAGCAGUAAUCGGCGGAAGUAUGACCACGAUUCUCAAGUGAUGUUGUCAACACUAAACCCGGAUCGUGUGCUGGUGCGGCUUCAGAAGCAUAUGCGAUUCCCUUCAUUCCUUUUUCCCCUGUAAUGGGGCUGGGUGUGGAUUUUGAGACUCAUUAUUUGCAUAUCCAAAAGGAAACUGUGCAAUUUCGAUGAACUGUGAUCAGAUUUGAAUGGUGUAGUGGGAGGAGAGGAAAGAAAGGGAAGACCUGGUCCAUGUCAAAGUAGGCCAAAAAAUCGCGAGUCUAGAGGAAGAAGUGAAUGGAACGACGACGAAUCUGGUUGGCCGAUCUUGAGGAGUCCAAGCGUAAACAUGCAGCAUUAUGCUUAUAGACAAAAGGAAAUGCAGGUACUUAUGCAACGUUACGAAUGUUACGACAAUGAGCUGGAUAAAAAUCUCCUCCUCACACAGAAUCGUCCUCGAAGUUUCUGUUCGCUUUUGGGAUUCGAGUUUAUAGAGGAAGAAGAAUUGGCACAAGAGGUUCAGGGACUGCAAUGGGAAGAGGGCCUCAUGAACGUCCAUUAGAUAAGAUCAUGAUUGAGAUCCUGAAACACUUGAUAUACAAUAUAGCCUAAGCAAAAGGUUAAAUGAAUGGAAGUAUAUUCAAUAACAUUGCAGAUGCUUCGCUCCAUAACUAAAGUUGAACCGUCGCUUCGUCCUUCCUAAGUUGCAUUGUUGGAUAAUCUCACUAAUCCUGAUAUAAGAUGUGAAUCUAUGAUGGAGCUUAUUGACAGAGACAAGAAAGCAGAUGUCAAUCCCUAGAACUGCACAGAUGUUGAAGUCCUUCUCUUUUGUGCUCAGUAGAUGCUUUGCAAGACUGAUUAGACGCUAUCGUGCUAGGAAUUGGCUAGUCCCUGGCAUUACGAUGCUUAGGGUGCUUGUUCAACGUUCUGUGGAUUUGUGGUCAAAGUGUUGCUUCUUUAGUGCUUUAAUGACACUACCUCAGAUGCAGUCAUUUUCUUUCGCUGCAAAAACGAAUAAAUGAAAAGGGUAAGUGUGACUGGUGAUAUUAGGUGGGCAGGAUUUUGCGAGAUAAGAUUAGCUGAUCAUGGAGUUGAUUUGAGAGUCCCCAGCAUUCGAUCUCGCCAAGAGCUUCUCGAUUUGACCGAGUUCAAGAAUCUUCACUUCAAGCAGGAGGUGUUUCCAGAUUGAUCAGAGGCUUAAUAACAAACGAGCUGUCACCUUCAAGAUAGACACUCUGCUUGCUAGUUGCUAAUAAGUGUUUGUUGGAUUUUGCGGAAACUCGAGCAGUUCCGGGAUUGUAGAGCUCGAAUCUCUGUCCUAAAUGUAGAUCGGAUUGAGCAUCAAAUGUCAUUGCCAAGCAGAAAUACUCCUAGAAGAGCUUAUGCAUGCCAUGACAAGCUCUUGCCGUAUCGGUUCUUCUCUUAGAAGGUUUGAUUCCUA